AUUGCUGUCAGCCAUAUUCAGACUUGCAAGAAGUGAUUUGGUUUAUUAACAAACAGUUAAAUCACACCUGCGAUAUAAUGAAACUUCCAAUAAUAUCAAAUAAAAUAAAUGACUGAAUUAAGACCACUAAAGCUGUGCCCACCCACUGCUCUUAUUUGUCAAUCAGUUUGUCAAUUUGUUAAUGCUGUCAUAUAACAGUUUUGGAUUUGUAUAUAACAGUUUUGACUUUGAUUUCACAGACAUAAGAAAACAGUUUGCCUUUUCCUCAUAGGCUCUAUUGUCAUAUAUCUAGUUUGAGACGUUAUGAAGGCACUGGUCUUUCUGACAUCAUUUAAAGAGUAUAGUUUAGACUUCUUUUUCAUCAUCUUUUUUGAUAACAUUUUUAUUUUUUUCAGUUUCAUUCAUUCAAGUUUUCUGUGUAGCCUACAGUUUUCAAUUUAACUAUUUUCAAUGUCAGCUAGAAUAUGUAAAAACAGGAAAGUAAGUUUACACAAGUUCAUGUCUUUCAAUCAGUCAAUAUUAUCUAUGCUGUCCGAGUUUUGAAAACAUGUUGGUUACAAUGUGGCUAUUUUUCCAGCUCUAGCAGAGGAAGGUCACGACCCUCAUUCUCCAAGGGUUUUUGUUUUUCACUUUUGAGAAUGCAUUUAUUCACAUUCUAGCCAAGGGGUGAGGUAAGGAUAUUGAUUUCACUUUUGACAUAUCUGUGAAUAAAAUAUAAAAACACACCCAGUAGUGGCUUUGCCUGGCAUAGCAUGAAGACUGAGUAUUUGGGGGGGAAAAGAUAGCCUGAUUUGUCUAGAAGGAAUCAAAUCUAGUUGGUGAGCAUUAUCUUUCUGAGUUUUCAGAAGUGGAACCAAUCUUUCUCUGAAACCAUAAGAACAAACCUUCCUUUGACCUUAAGUGAUGACUGGAUGAGACAUUGUUGUUACAGCAGAUGCACAGAUUCUCAAGGAUGCAGAAGACAGCUUUAUCCCAGAGAACGACUAAAACCUGAGUUGAGAGGGCUUUUAUUUCCUCUGCUAUUUAGAGUAUGCGUUUGCAGUACAUUGCAGGGAUGUGCAGCAGUAAUCCUACUUGUAAGUUUUUUUGUUUUUGUUUUUUCUUUUAAACUAACCAGAAAGUAUGGAAAAUUGUCUGAAUCCUUCUUUGGCCAUGACCGCCAACACAAGCAAGAAAAUGAAGUAACGUUAAAGAGUGUUUCAGUGUUUUGUAUUGUAAUUAGUUUUAUGCAGAAUAAGUACCACUCCAAAUGAGAACAAUAACAGCACUAUUCUAUACUCUUAAUCAGUAGUUAGUGCUUGGCUUUGUAACCAGCGGAAUGAUUGACAUGACCAAGUGCCAAUGACAAUCAGAGGGGCACAUUGGAUGGCUCAUCAGCUUGCAGCAUUUGUUCAGUUCCCUCUCUUCAUUGCCCGGGUCAAACUCUUAUAGGGUUGUCUCUGGCUCAGGAGCAGGUGGGCAGUAGGAACCUAACACACGUGGCCCAUUUUCUGGACACAUCUGUGUGUAGUGGCUCUUGAUGCUCUGACUUCAGCCUCGGUCCACUCCAUGUAAAGCUCCCUCAAGUUCUUAAAUCAUCUUUGUUUGGCAGUUCUCUCAAAGCAGCGCUUAUCCCUGUUUUGCUCGGUCACCUUUUCCUCCCUCACUUCCUCCUUCCAGUCAUCUUUCCAUGAAUCUGCUUCUACACAGCACUCUGUUAACAGCCAGCUAUUUCAGCAAUGGCCUUCUGUGGCCAAUUUUUUUUGAGCUGUUCCUCUCAGUGGAUUUUCAUCUAUUUUGUUGAUUUGUUCUCCAAAACCUGUCUGCUGUCUGUCUGGUCUAUUUCUUUUUUAAAGACAUUCCCAUGCUAAGUUCUCCACCCACUCCAGUGUUAUACAACAAAUAAUAUAACUCAGCCUUGCAACUAAGAUAAAAAGGACUUUCUUGCAGUCAGACAGCAAAGACGCACAAAAACUCUUUCUAGGCUCAGAUUAUGAACCAUAAUUGGAUUGCAUAAUAAUCCGCUCAAGUGAUUUUCUGGAUUACGCCAUACUGAAAGAGUGAGGGGCAGGAAUAUAAAGCGCUGGUGCUAUCUUGCCUGAUAAAUAUGAUUUGUCUGAUGGGUUGUGAUUAAAUGAUUACAAUAGCUCAGUGCCUCACCUAAAUUGACAUGUCACUGCUUCAUUACUCAUUCUGAAUUUGUUUUCUUUGCGGCUUCACAGAAAGAAACAUCAAAGCUGUAAACAGUUUGAUGUAAUAAUGCCAAUUUAUCAAGAUUUCAGACGGCCCUUUCAUCCCUCAUUGUUAUGAAGAGCAGACAAACUGACAUCCUGAGCUAGUUUAUGACUUUGUCAUGGUACGAUGAAUUCUUUCAUGGGGUGAAUUUCCUCAAAACGCAGCAUAUGAAAAUAAAUUUCCUGCUCCAUCUCGUCUAUAUCUAACAGGUGUUCAUAACAAGACGCUUCUGUUGACAGCCAAUUCUGCUCCGAGAUAGAUAUGGUGCAGUUUACAACAAGGUGCAGUGUUUGUUUUAGCAACAAAGAAUAGUGUUUUGAUGGGGAAAAUGAUCAUCUCAUUGUAAAUGUGUUUUAUUACCUUUUUUGGCAGCUUUAAGACAAUCUUGUUAGCACAUCAGAUGUUCAGCUGCUACACAUUGAGGAACGGUGAUUCACUGUGUCGAAAUCCAGACAUUGCAGACUAUUAAAUUCCAGUUAAACUUACUCGGUGCAAACUACAACAAUCAACUUCAAUUUACAAGAUUCGUUUGCUGACAAGGUGGUGAUUUUAUGAAAUUAAAUAUACAUUCAAGCUUGGGUUAAGUGUGAAAACUCAGUCUAUAUUGGCAGAUGAUUUUGCACUGGUUGAAAAAUUACACUGCCCAACAAAAAUAACAGUCACCACCUGAAUUUAAAAGCAAAUGUGUAUGAGCCUUCUAUUUGACAAUUACUGCAUGGGCGAUUAUCUUUCAGCUGGCACCAAGUUAUUUAACUCCAGCUGAUGCAAUGAGUAACUUCUCAUUUCAUAAACAAUCAUGUCAAAAGACACAUCCUGUGGUCGUGGAAAAGAUAAGUCUCUUUAAGAAGGUCUAAUCAUUUGCAUGCAUGAGAAAACAUCUAAGGAGAUUGUAGAAACUACUAAAAUUGUGUUAAGAACUGUCCAACGCAUUAUCAAAAACUGGAAUGAUAGUGGAGAACCAUUGUCUAACAGGGAGAAAUGUGGUUGGAAAACAAUCCCAAAUGGUAGUGAUUGGAGAUCAGUUAAAACAUUUGGCCAAAUCAAUUCAAAGAAAAACAACAGUAGAACUCAGGGGUUUGUUUAAUAGUGAAAAGAAAGAGCAUUUCAUGUGAGGGGAACUGAAGGGAUUGGGACUGAACAGCUGUGUAACCUUAAGAAAACCACUAAUCAGUAAGGCCAACUGGAAAAAAAAGGCUUUAGUUUGCUAGGCAGCAUAAAGAUUGAACUCUGGAGGAAUGGGAGAAGGUCAUGUAGUCUGACGAGUCCAGAAUUACCGUCUUCCAGAGUGAUGGGCACGUCAGGGUAGGAAGAGAGGCAGGUGAAGUAAUGCGCCCAUCAUGCCUUGUGUCGUCCAUACAGGCCUAUGGGGGCAGUGCUAUGAUCUGGGGUUGCUGCAGUCGGUCAGGUCUAGGUUCAGUAACAUUAAGUGCCCAAAGAAUGAGGUCAGCUGACAACCUGAAUAGACUGAAUGCUCAGGUUAUUCCAUCAAUGGAUUUUUUCUUCCCUAAUGUCUCAAGCAUUUACUGAAAUGACAAUGCCAGGAUUCAUCUGGUUUAAAUUGUUAAAGAGUGGUUCAGAGAGCAUGAGAUAUCAUUUUCACACAUUGAUUGGCCACUACAGAGUCCAGACCUCAACCCAAUUGAGAAUCUUUGGGAUGUGCUUGAGAGAGCUUUGUGCAGUGGUUAGAUUCCCCCAUCAUCAAUACAAGAUCUUGUCGAAAAAAUAACGCAACACUGGAUGGAAAUAAAUCUUGUGACAUUGCAGAAACUUAUCGAAACAAUGCCACAGAGAACUCAUGCUGUAAUAUAAAGGCGGACCAACAAAAUAUUACAGUGUGUGACCUUUUUUUUUUCUUUUUGGUCGCGCCUUUUUUUUAAGCCAGGCAGUUGUAACUCAAUUAAGUGAUUGAAAAAUUGCAAAUCACCUCAUCUUUGGCACAGCAGACUUGAAGCCUCAUUCAGUAAAAGAUUAUGCAGGUUAUGCACCUGCUAAUCUUGUGCAAAUGAAACAAGGAAUCACUGUCAAGUACACAGAAAGUGUAAGUCUCAUUGCAAAUCACAGGUGCAAAUAGUUGAGCACAGUUAGAGUACAUUUAUUCUGCCUGCUUAGACUUGGUUGUAAUUGUACUGCUGUAUUAUGCUCAAACUGUCCAGGAAUCAUGACCUCCAAAAACUCCAGCCUGAAGGCUGACAUCAAGCUCUCCAUCAUGCAUACUCGCUCCGAUGGGCACUCUCCUUGCUGCACACAUAAACAGACAAACACACUCAAAUGCAACCUUAAGCAUCACUGUUUAUUUUAUUUUUUAUUAUCUUGGUUAUAAUCAAGGGUUAAAUCAGCUUAGCCUGUAGCUCAACCUUUGUUACGUUUUCUUAAUGAUAAGUUUUAAGCUUAACCCAAGAGCAGACAGGAGGCAAAACAAGUUCUGAAUGGUUUAUUUGCAAUAAUGGUGAAGGGUGGGGGGGUGGAAUCCAAAGUCUGGGGUGCGAUGAAGCUCUAAGGUAAGGUGAGGAUUAGUGGUGAAUGAGUUGGCUAAGAAGGUAGGUGAGUGAUCCAAUGUGAGAAUUGUGGCAGCGUGGCAGAGAUUGUAGCUUGGCUCGAGAGGCUUGUGGAGGCACUGGAAAGAAAGGAGGAGAGCAAUAGGUAGAGGACAAUUACUAGAGAUCAUACAAACUUGCGAUACUUGCAAGUUGUAGGCCUGGAUACCACAGAGGAGCUGGAAUCAUGUGGUGCUGAGGAGUGUCUCUGCAGCUCUUAAGUGCAGACAGUGGUUAGUGUGAUCAGGGGCAGGUGCAAAAGUGCCAGAGGAGCCAUACCAAGAGAGGAGUCCCCCCGAUCUCUGUGGGGAGAAGGGGGAGACUCCACACAACACAAAAUGUCUCCUAAAUUAAAAAAAAAUGAAUGAACAAUUGCAAAUCCCCACAACCCCUGCACAUCAAAGUUCUGCCAUUACGCAUGUUUCUUUAAAAAAAUAAAAAUAAUCUUAAAAAGCUGCUUUUGUCACAUCUGUCAUGAAAACUUUGGGUACAGUUUCAGCUCUUUCUACCUUUAUUCAAAUGAUGAGUCCAAUUCCAUUCCCACAUAAAGAUUUUUUUUAAUUAACUAUUGAUUCUUAUUCCAUUAUUUCUUGAGAGUAAAAUAACAAACACUGAAAAAACAAAUAUGAGUCUGCUUUU